rnacentral:lncRNA from 1 species
CCUAAAUAAAAUACCCGACCUUGACAACUGAACUAUGGGCUCAAUUCACUGCUCCAUCCAGACUGGUCUCUGGGUGGUGCAUAUGUGGAGAGAGAUCUGAAGAGCACACCUCUACACUCCAGUCACAUUUCCACAUGGCUGUUCGUUCUUCAUCAAACCUAACCAUAAAAGUAGACCUGGGUGUUUGGGUCUUUAUUUCUGAGGGCUCUUAUGUCACACAAAAUUGUUAUUAAAUAAAGCUGUUAUGCCUUUCUCUUGCUAACUUGUCUUUUGUUAUAAGAGUGUU